rnacentral:lncRNA from 1 species
UCUAGAAGAAUGUCUAGACUCACCAUUUGAAUGAAAGUCGGCCAUGGCAAAGCACUUUUUUCUUCAUCGGGAUGUUACCACGGAAUCGGGUGUUUUGUUUUCGAAUCACUUUCUGCUGUUCAGUCAGAAGAUGGUGACUGAAGAUGGUUUGGUAAUCGAUGUAGCUUAUUGCUUCAUUGGAUGAUGUGAUAGUAAAGUUUGAUACCAGAGAAUCCAAUUAGCAACCCCCCAACUUGAC